AUUGAUUUUAUGCUUGCAUAAAUGAUUUUUGGAUUCGGAGCGAGUGGCGAACUGGUGAGUAACACGUGGGUAACCUGCCCCGAAGCGGGGGAUAACAUUUGGAAACAAGUGCUAAUACCGCAUAAUUAGUUGGAACCGCAUGGUUCCAACUUGAAAGAUGGCUCUGCUAUCACUUUGGGAUGGACCCGCGCCGUAUUAGUUAGUUGGUGAGAUAAAAGCCCACCAAGACGAUGAUACGUAGCCGACCUGAGAGGGUAAUCGGCCACAUUGGGACUGAGACACGGCCCAGACUCCUACGGGAGGCAGCAGUAGGGAAUCUUCCACAAUGGACGAAAGUCUGAUGGAGCAACGCCGCGUGAGUGAUGAAGGUUUUCGGAUCGUAAAACUCUGUUGUUAAAGAAGAACAAGUGUUAGAGUAACUGUUAACACUUUGACGGUAUUUAACCAGAAAGCCACGGCUAACUACGUGCCAGCAGCCGCGGUAAUACGUAGGUGGCAAGCGUUGUCCGGAUUUAUUGGGCGUAAAGCGAGCGCAGGCGGUUUUGUAAGUCUGCUGUGAAAGCCCUCAGCUCAACUGAGGAAGUGCAGUGGAAACUACAAAACUUGAGUACAGAAGAGGAAAGUGGAACUCCAUGUGUAGCGGUGAAAUGCGUAGAUAUAUGGAAGAACACCAGUGGCGAAGGCGGCUUUCUGGUCUGUUACUGACGCUGAGGCUCGAAAGCAUGGGUAGCGAACAGGAUUAGAUACCCUGGUAGUCCAUGCCGUAAACGAUGAAUACUAGGUGUUGGAGGGUUUCCGCCCUUCAGUGCCGCAGCUAACGCAUUAAGUAUUCCGCCUGGGGAGUACGACCGCAAGGUUGAAACUCAAAGGAAUUGACGGGGGCCCGCACAAGUGGUGGAG
rnacentral:rRNA from 2 species